rnacentral:rRNA from 1 species
AGUGAACGCUGGCGGUAGGCCUAACACAUGCAAGUCGAACGGCAGCACAGUAAGAGCUUGCUCUUACGGGUGGCGAGUGGCGGACGGGUGAGGAAUACAUCGGAAUCUACUUUUUCGUGGGGGAUAACGUAGGGAAACUUACGCUAAUACCGCAUACGACCUACGGGUGAAAGCAGGGGAUCUUCGGACCUUGCGCGAUUGAAUGAGCCGAUGUCGGAUUAGCUAGUUGGCGGGGUAAAGGCCCACCAAGGCGACGAUCCGUAGCUGGUCUGAGAGGAUGAUCAGCCACACUGGAACGGAGACACGGUCCAGACUCCUACGGGAGGCAGCGGUGGGGAAUAUUGGACAAUGGGCGCAAGCCUGAUCCAGCCAUACCGCGUGGGUGAAGAAGGCCUUCGGGUUUUAAAGCCCUUUUGUUGGGAAAGAAAAGCAGCAGGUUAAUACCCCGCUGUUCUGACGGUACCCAAAGAAUAAGCACCGGCUAACUUCGUG